CUCAGACCAAAAUCACGAAUUCAGCAGCAAAGCUGGAGCUGCUCCAAACAUCCCAAACUGGAGACAGCUCCAGAGAAAAGAGGAAGAUCCACCCCUAAAAAUGCCAUUUUCCUGGGAUUUGGACUAAAAAUCAGGAAUACAAACCAGGGUCCCAUGGGGUGGGACAGGACACCUUGCUCCUGGUGGCUCUGUCCCCAUCCUGCCUCCGGGGAGCUCCAAACCCUCAGGUUUGGGAUUUCAGGAUCCCUCCUCCCUUCCCUGCUCCCAGCCACUCCCAGGAUUCCCAGAGCCUCCCAGCUGCUCCCAGACCCGGGAGGGCAAAAAACUCCAUGAAGGGAAUUAAUAAAUGAAUAAUAAAUGAAUAAUAAAUGAAUAAUAAGUGAAUAAUAAAUGAAUAAUAAAUGAAUAAUAAAGGAUGGAGCACGAGCUGUUCUUUACAGCCUUUAUUGAAGGUGCCCAGCAACCCCAGCACAGGGUGAGGGUCACUGUGGGGUCACUCCGGGGUCACUCCAGGUCACUCUGGGGUCACUCCAGGUCCCUCUGGGGUCACUCAGCCCUCAGGCAGUCGCUGCCUUCUGCUUGUAGGUUGCCAUCAUCUUCUUGAUCUCAGCGAUGGCUUUGCCGGGGUUCAGCCCCUGUGGGAGGGGCUGCUCAGAGCCUGGGGGGCUGCAGCACCUCCCUCCCUCCUUCCUCCCUCCCUCCCCAUCCUCCUCCUCAUCCCAGCCCUGCUGAACUCCCAAACCUGCUGCUGUUCCACCUUUUUUCCCCUCAAACCUGGAACUCAGCCAAUAUUCUCCUUCCUUUCAAACCCCAGGAGGUCACAGUUGUAAUAAAUCCCAAACCUGCUGCUAUUCCACCUUU